rnacentral:tRNA from 1 species
UGUUAUUUCGCCCAGUGGUAGGGCGUUCGAAUUAGGCUCGAAAGGUCGCGGGUUCAACUCCCGUAAUGACAACCA